rnacentral:tRNA from 1 species
AGCUUUAUAGUUUAACUUAAAACAUAAAUUUUGUAAAUUUAAAAUAUAAUAAUAAUAAUAUUUAAGCUA